AGAGUUUGAUCAUGGCUCAGGCCUUUUAAGGGCGGCGUGCCUAACACAUGCAAGUCGAACGACCCUUAUGCCUGGAACCCUCCGGGGGGAAGGGCAUGUGACUGAGUGGCGGACGGGUGAGUAACGCGUGGGCAACCUGCCCCGCACCGGGGGACAACAGCCGGAAACGGCUGCUAAUACCGCAUAUGCGCACAGCUUUGCAUGAAGCAGUGUGGAAAACUCCGGUGGUGCGGGAUGGGCCCGCGUCUGAUUAGCUGGUUGGCGGGGCAACGGCCCACCAAGGCGACGAUCAGUAGCCGGCCUGAGAGGGUGGACGGCCACAUUGGGACUGAGACACGGCCCAGACUCCUACGGGAGGCAGCAGUGGGGGAUAUUGCACAAUGGGGGGAACCCUGAUGCAGCGACGCCGCGUGAGCGAAGAAGUACCUCGGUAUGUAAAGCUCUAUCAGCAGGGAAGAAAAUGACGGUACCUGACUAAGAAGCCCCGGCUAAAUACGUGCCAGCAGCCGCGGUAAUACGUAUGGGGCAAGCGUUAUCCGGAUUUACUGGGUGUAAAGGGAGCGCAGGCGGCCUGCCAAGUCUGGUGUGAAAACCCGGGGCCCAACCCCGGGCCUGCAUUGGAAACUGGCGGGCUGGAGUGUCGGAGGGGCAGGCGGAAUUCCUAGUGUACCGGUGAAAUGCGUACAUAUUANGAGGAACACCGGUGGCGAAGGCGGCCUGCUGGACGAUGAAUGACGCUGAGGCUCGAAAGCGUGGGGAGCAAACAAGAUUAGAUACCCUGGUAGUCCCCGCCGU
rnacentral:rRNA from 1 species